rnacentral:rRNA from 1 species
CACCUCUACCCACCGCACGUGCCGCCCGAAACACUGAAGACACUCAAGCUAACUUACCCAUCACCCCGCCCAAGACAAGGGCAUU